UAAUCUGCCCAAUGAAUUAAAUUUUUUAAAAGGCCGCAGUAUUUUAACUGUGCUAAGGUAGCAUAAUCAUUAGUUUUAUAAUUUAAAUCUAGAAUGAAUGAUUAAAUGAAAAAUAAACUUUUUUAAUUAUAAAAUAAUAAAUUUUUAUUUAAGUUAAAAAUCUUAAUUUAUUUUAUUAGACGAGAAGACCCUAUAGAAUUUUAUUUAUUAAUUAAUUUAUUUUAAUUAAUUAAUUAAAUUUAUUUGGGGAGAUUAAAAAAUUUAAUUAACUUUUAUUUUUAAUUUCAAAAAUUUUUGUUAUUUUUGAUCUUUUGGUAUAGAUUAAAAAAUUAAAUUACCUUAGGGAUAACAGCAUAAUUUUUUAAAAAAGUUCUUAUUUUUUAAAAAGUUUAUGACCUCGAUGUUGGAUUAAAUAAAAAUUUAGUUGAAGAUAAUUAAAAAAUUUUAGUCUGUUCGACUAUAAAAAAUUUACAUGAUCUGAGUUCAAACCGGUGUAAGCCAGGUCGGUUUCUAUCU
rnacentral:rRNA from 1 species